GAUGAACGCUAGCUACAGGCUUAACACAUGCAAGUCGAGGGGAAACGAUAUUGGAAGCUUGCUUCCGAUAGGCGUCGACCGGCGCACGGGUGAGUAACGCGUAUCCAACCUGCCCAUCACUUGGGGAUAACCUUGCGAAAGUAAGACUAAUACCCAAUGACGUCUCUAGAAGACAUCUGAAAGAGAUUAAAGAUUUAUCGGUGAUGGAUGGGGAUGCGUCUGAUUAGCUUGUUGGCGGGGUAACGGCCCACCAAGGCGACGAUCAGUAGGGGUUCUGAGAGGAAGGUCCCCCACAUUGGAACUGAGACACGGUCCAAACUCCUACGGGAGGCAGCAGUGAGGAAUAUUGGUCAAUGGACGAGAGUCUGAACCAGCCAAGUAGCGUGAAGGAUGAAGGUCCUACGGAUUGUAAACUUCUUUUAUAAGGGAAUAAACCCUCCCACGUGUGGGAGCUUGUAUGUACCUUAUGAAUAAGCAUCGGCUAACUCCGUG
rnacentral:rRNA from 1 species